CACUGCGGCAGCGGGGGAGCGAGCCGAGCCGCCAGACGGGGACUUGGGAGGACGGCGAGGAGGAGGAGCGCGAAGGGAGCCCGGAGGGAGGACCCGGGACCGGGAGGCCGAGCCAGGGAGACUACGGAGACGGGCGAGGCUGGAAGGCAACGAAAGAGAGGGAAGAUGCAGAGGGGAAGUGAAAGUUAGAGAGGCGAGCGAGGAGGAAGAAGAGGGAGGAGCCAGAGAAUAAAGAAAAUAGAGCCGGGGAGCAAAGGCCUCGCGUCUGCUGGUCGCCCGCGGCGCCGAGUUCGCUCCGCGCCUCGCCGGGGAGGCCGCGGGGAUCCCGGCGGGCUGCAGCCCCGGGCGGGCCGAGGCCACACUGGACUCCCAGGUACCAGGAAUGAACUCGUGACCUCCCACUUACCAGAGUCAUUUCAGGAGCCUCCUGAGUCGCCAGGGCCGGCCGGGCCGCAAGGUGGGCAGGAGGAGGCGGAGGCGGGUGCGGGCCAACAUCCGCAGGUGGCUGCUGAGCACUUGAAAAGCAUCCAAUGUAAGUGGAGGAUUAUUUAUUGAAUUAAGCUGGUCUUUGGCAUGACUGUGGCCGGUGGAUACUGUGCUGACCAGCACAGCUCUGGUAGGCCAGUCAGUGUUCACUUUGUGGAAGAAGCCCCCCCUGCAGAGCUGUGCAAGGCCUGUGAGGAGGACAGAGCCCUUCGCUCCCGGUGUCAGCUGCUGCUGGCUCCCCAGCACCAUGAGAACAAAGCCCCACUGCAGUGCUGGGAUCUGAAUCUGUGCCUCACCCAUGCUAGGCAUAUGCUCCACUGCCAAGCUAUGGCCCAGCCCUAUGUUUGUACCUCACUGUGACUCACCCCAAAAGUGCCUAUCACCCCUCUUUGGAGCCUGCCAAAAAUGCACACUGAUCUCUCUAGUGUGGAUACAUGUACACCCAUAUUUGCCAAACACACCUGCACAGUGUGAGAGCAGAUGCCUUGAGCGACAGGCUUCCAGGCAAUCUGGGAUUGGAGAAGCGGAAAUGUAACUGCCAGCAGUCCUUUCUCAGACUCCUUGUGCCGCCCUUCCUACUUAUGUGCUUGUACUAUGACCUGCAAGAAGCAAGAAGAGUCACCACUUUUCUCCACAUAAAUGUGAAGCUGAGACAUGAACAAUAAGUGAGGGCAGCCUCUGGGGCACAGGUUUUUCUUUCAAACACUCCACAAGGAAGGCAGACAAGUGUUAGCUUUCGCCUUUUGUGGAUGAGGCCACUGGGGCACAGGCUGCGGUGCAAAUCAAUGCAUGGAGAACCGUAGAGAAGGAAGCAGAAGCAGGAGGCCACAGCCUUUGAGCAAAACCUCAUCUGCUAGUUGCUGGAGUUCUGUGAUUAAAACUGUGGCUGAGUGUGAUUGACAGCCUGGUGUAUGCUGAGCUUCCUGUGCUAGAACAUGUGUACACUCUAGUUCCCCACCAGUUUCCUUCUGUGAUCACAACGGUAUUUUCCUGCAAGCCUGGACAAAGAGCAAAGGAAUCCAAAGAUUCUCAACCUGAGCUUUUCAGCCCCAGCCUCACGCAUGAGUAAGGAGGGACGAGCAGGCAGAUGCUGAGGAAGCACUGUACUCCAGCCUGCUGCACGUCUCUGGGCUUGUGUGGGCACAG